CGUGUAGGCGGCUAGAUAAGUCAGAUGUGAAAUCCCUGGGCUUAACCCAGGAAGUGCAUUUGAUACUGUUUGGCUUGAGUAGGGGAGAGGAAAGUGGAAUUCCUGGUGUAGAGGUGAAAUUCGUAGAUAUCAGGAGGAACACCGGUGGCGAAGGCGACUUUCUGGCCCUAUACUGACGCUGAGACGCGAAAGCGUGGGUAGCAAACAG
rnacentral:rRNA from 1 species